rnacentral:rRNA from 1 species
GAGGGGCAAGCGUUGUUCGGAAUUACUGGGCGUAAAGGGCGCGUAGGCGGCCUUCUAAGUCGAACGUGAAAUCCCUGGGCUCAACCCAGGAACUGCGUCCGAUACUGGGAGGCUUGAAUCCGGGAGAGGGAUGUGGAAUUCCAGGUGUAGCGGUGAAAUGCGUAGAUAUCUGGAGGAACACCGGUGGCGAAGGCGGCAUCCUGGACCGGUAUUGACGCUGAUGCGCGAAAGCCAGGGGAGCAAACGGGAUUAGAUACCCCGGUAGUCCUGGCCCUAAACGAUGAAUGCUUGGUGUGGCGGGUAUCGAUCCCUGCCGUGCCGAAGCUAACGCAUUAAGCAUUCCGCCUGGGGAGUACGGCCGCAAGGUUG